AGUCAAUAGAUACCCCAGGUAGUCCACGCCGUAAACGAUGAGUACUAGGUGUAGGAGGUAUCGACUCCUUCUGUGCCGCAGUUAACACAAUAAGUACUCCGCCUGGGAAGUACGGUCGCAAGAUUAAAACUCAAAGGAAUUGACGGGGGCCCGCACAAGCAGCGGAGCAUGUGGUUUAAUUCGAAGCAACGCGAAGAACCUUACCUAGACUUGACAUCUCCUGAAUAGCGCAGAGAUGCGUGAAGCCCUUCGGGGCAGGAAGACAGUGGUGCAUGGUUGUCGUCAGCUCGUGUCGUGAGAUGUGGUUAAGUCCCGCAACGAGCGCACCCUAUAUAGUGCUACAUAGUGAGCACUCUAAUGAGACUGCCGGUUAACCGGAGAGCGGG
rnacentral:rRNA from 1 species